UAAUACUCGAGCCCCAAGUGGUAUCCAUAGUUAGUGGGUCUAAAGCGUCCGUAGCCGGUUUGGUAAGUCCUCAGUGAAAUUCCACAGUAAACCGUGGAGCUUGCUGAGGAUACUGCUGGACUCGGGACCGGGAGAGGAUAGAGGUACUCCCGGGGGAGGGGUAAAAUCCUAUAAUCCUGGGGGGACCACCAGUGGCGAAGGCUUCUGUCUAGAACGGGUCCGACGGUGAGGGACGAAACCUAGGGGAGCGAUCGGGAUUAGAUACCCCGGUAGUCCUAGGCGUAAACGAUGCCCGUUUGGUGUUGCAGACCUUUCGAGGGUCUGCAGUGUCGGAAUGGAGGUGUUAAACGGGCCACCUGGGGAGUAUGACCGCAAGGUUG
rnacentral:rRNA from 1 species